rnacentral:tRNA from 7 species
CUUCUAUAGGAAAGCAGCAAUCCAUUGGUUU